rnacentral:pre_miRNA from 1 species
GUCCGGAAUUACUUGUCAUCAAAAUGGAUGUGUCUAGAACUAAAAUACAUCUAGAUACAUCCAUUUCAAUGACAAGUAUUUUCGGACGGAGGGAGUACAAG